rnacentral:rRNA from 1 species
AGAAUCAACGCUGGCGGCGCGCUUAACACAUGCAAGUCGAGCGAGAAAGUGGAGCAAUCCAUGAGUAAAGCGGCGUACGGGUGAGUAACACGUGGAUCAUCUACCUUUUAGUGGGGGAUGACUCUGGGAAACCGGAGCUAAUACCGCAUAAGCCUGUAAAGGGAAAGCAGCAAUGCGCUGAAAGAGGAGUCCGCGGCCGAUUAGCUAGUUGGUGAGGUAACGGCCCACCAAGGCGAUGAUCGGUA